rnacentral:rRNA from 1 species
GGAUUAGGCAUGCAAGUCGAACGAGGAUAUGUCCUUCGGGAUAUAAGCCGAGUGGCGCAAGGGUGAGUAAUGCAUAGAUUACCUGCCUUUAGGAUAAGGACAACUUUGUGAAAACGAAGCUAAUACUUAAUAACACAAAAGAAAAUAAUUUUCAUUUGUCAAAUGGAGGGUAGCAAUAUCUUUCGCCUAAAGAGGGGUUUAUGUCCUAUCAGCUAGUUGGUGGGGUAAUGGCCCACCAAGGCGAAGACGGGUAGCCGGCCUUAGAGGGUGGUCGGCCACACUGGGACUGAGACGCUGCCCAGACUUCUACGGAAGGCUGCAGUCGAGAAUCUUUCGCAAUGCCCGAAAGG